AUUGAACGCUGGCGGCAGGCCAAACACAUGCAAGUCGAACGAGUGGCGGACGGGUGAGUAAUGUCUGGGAAACUGCCCGAUGGAGGGGGAUAACUACUGGAAACGGUAGCUAAUACCGCAUACCAUCGGAUGUGCCCAGAUGGGAUUAGCUAGUAGGUGGGGUAACGGCUCACCUAGGCGACGAUCCCUAGCUGGUCUGAGAGGAUGAACAGCCACACUGGAACUGGGACACGGUCCGGACUCCUACGGGAGGCAGCAGUGGGAAAUAUGGCACAAUGGGCGCAAGCCUGAUGCAGCCAUGCCGCGUGUAUGAAGAAGGCCUUCGGGUUGUAAAGUACUUCCAGCGAGGAGGCGUUACUCGCAGAAGAAGCACCGGCUAACUCAGUGCCAGCAGCCGCGGUAAUUC
rnacentral:rRNA from 1 species